rnacentral:tRNA from 1 species
AUCCAAAUAGUUUAAUUAGAAUUAUAGUUUGUGGUGUUAUAGGUGUAUUUUUAUACUUUGGAUU